UACGGAGGGUGCAAGCGUUAUCCGGAUUCACUGGGUUUAAAGGGUGCGUAGGCGGGUAAGUAAGUCCGUGGUGAAAUCUCUGAGCUUAACUCAGAAACUGCCGUGGAUACUAUUUGCCUUGAAUAUUGUGGAGGUGAGCGGAAUAUGUCAUGUAGCGGUGAAAUGCUUAGAUAUGAUAUAGAACACCAAUUGCGAAGGCAGCUUGCUAAACGAUCAUUGACGCUGAGGCACGAAAGCGUGGGGAUCAAACAGG
rnacentral:rRNA from 1 species